CCUACGGGAGGCAGCAGUGAGGAAUAUUGGUCAAUGGACGAGAGUCUGAACAAGCCAAGUAGCGUGAAGGAUGACUGCCCUAUGGGUUGUAAACUUCUUUUAUAUGGGAAUAAAAUGUUCCACGUGUGGGAUUUUGUAUGUACCAUAUGAAUAAGGAUCGGCUAACUCCGUGCCAGCAGCCGCGGUAAUACGGAGGAUCCGAGAGUUAUCCGGAUUUAUUGGGUUUAAAGGGAGCGUAGGUGGAUUGUUAAGUCAGUUGUGAAAGUUUGCGGCUCAAACGUAAAAUUGCAGUUGAAACUGGCAGUCUUGAGUACAGUAGAGGUGGGCGGAAUUCGUGGUGUAGCGGUGAAAUGCUUAGAUAUCACGAAGAACUCCGAUUGCGAAGGCAGUUCACUGGACUGCAACUGACACUGAGGCUCGAAAGUGUGGGUAUCAAACAGGAUUAGAUACCCGAGUAGUC
rnacentral:rRNA from 1 species